GUCCAGACUCCUACGGGAGGCAGCAGUGGGGAAUAUUGCACAAUGGGGGAAACCCUGAUGCAGCGACGCCGCGUGAGUGAAGAAGUAUUUCGGUAUGUAAAGCUCUAUCAGCAGGGAAGAAAAUGACGGUACCUGACUAAGAAGCCCCGGCUAACUACGUGCCAGCAGCCGCGGUAAUACGUAGGGGGCAAGCGUUAUCCGGAUUUACUGGGUGUAAAGGGAGCGUAGACGGCUGUGCAAGCCAGAUGUGAAAGCCCGGGGCUCAACCCCGGGACUGCAUUUGGAACUGUGUGGCUGGAGUGUCGGAGAGGCAGGCGGAAUUCCUAGUGUAGCGGUGAAAUGCGUAGAUAUUAGGAGGAACACCAGUGGCGAAGGCGGCCUGCUGGACGAUGACUGACGUUGAGGCUCGAAAGCGUGGGGAGCAAACAGGAUUAGAUACCCGUGUAC
rnacentral:rRNA from 1 species